UGUACAAUAUUCGAAUGAAUUUGUAUAUUAAUAGUUCCUUUCAAAUAGUUAUGACUUUAAAAAAAGAAUUUAAUUUACUAUCCUACUCUAAUACUUUGUGGCGCUCUUUUUAAAAUUCUUCCACUUGCUACUAUAGCGCCACCUUAAUUUGCUUCCUUUCAACAAACACUUUUCGAUACACCGAGAUUGUUCUCUUAACCUCUCCCUCCAUACCACAAACAAAUCACAUUGAGUUUGUGAAAGAAUCCGUCAAUGUCAAAUAUUCAUGGCUGUCACUCACUAACAAAAAUGCGUAUGUGUGCGUUCUCAGAACAUAACCUUUUUUCGCGUGGACCUUUUGUUUGUUAAUUUUACAACUAAAAUUAAAGUAAUUAGAUAUAAAUAUAACAGUGAUAAGUUUAGUGUACACAAGAUGGAAAAUGAUAACACGAAUUACCUUCUCCUCCUACAACGUCAAGAAAGAAAGCCAAAGUAUCGAAGGUACAACAAAAAUAUAGGCACGAAUGGGAAUGCCAAUAUGUCUGGUUAACGAGUGAUAUCUAAGCAAAAUAUGUGCUUUAACAUUUACUAUUUCUCACGCAGGUGUUGGGCAGGUAAAACAGCACUUAACCAUCAAAAAACAGAAAAAAAGACGGAAAUGGGAAAAUCUAGCAUUGUAAAUUAGUAAGUUGUGCGAGAAGCUCUAAAAAAUGUGUAUUUAAAACAAUAAAUAAAUAAAAUAAUGUUAAUUUUUCUAAAA